AUUGAACGCUGGCGGCAUGCCUUACACAUGCAAGUCGAACGGCAGCACGGGUGCUUGCACCUGGUGGCGAGUGGCGAACGGGUGAGUAAUACAAAGGAACCUACCUUAUGGUGGGGGAUAACGCAGCGAAAGCUGUGCUAAUCCUGAAUACGCCGUGUGGGGGCAAGCGGGGGCUCGAAAGACCUCGCGUGAUUCGAGCGGCCGAUGACUGAUUAGCUUGUUGGUGGGGUAAAAGCCCACCAAGGCGACGAUCAGUAGUUGGUCUGAGAGGACGAUCAGCCACACUGGGACUGAGACACGGCCCAGACUCCUACGGGAGGCAGCAGUGGGGAAUUUUGGACAAUGGUGGCAACCCUGGUCCAGCAAUGCCUCGUGAGUGAAGAAGGCCUUCGGGUUGUAAAGCUCUUUUGUCAGGAAAGAAACACCGGCUCUAACACAGUCCGGGAAUGACGGUACCUUAAGAAUAAGCACCGGCUAACUACGUGCCAGCCGCCGCGGUAA
rnacentral:rRNA from 1 species